rnacentral:rRNA from 1 species
UACGUAGGGGGCAAGCGUUGUCCGGAAUCAUUGGGCGUAAGCGCGUGUAGGCGGCUUAGGUAAGUCUGCUCUGAAAGCCCGGGGCUCAACCCCGGGAGGCGGGUGGAUACUGUACUAGCUCGAGUCCGGGAAGAGGAGUGUGGAAUUCCUGGUAGUAGCGGUGAAAUGCGCAGAUAUCAGGAGGAACACCAAUGGCGAAGGCAGCACUCUGGGACGUGACUGACGCUAGACGCGAAAGCGUGGGGAGCAAACAGG